rnacentral:rRNA from 1 species
UAGAGUUUGAUCAUGGCUCAGCAAUCUGAUCGGAUAAAUUUUGGAUGGGAGGAAAAAAUGGCAACUCCAAAAACAUUGGAUAAACCGGUUGUUGACUCGGUUGUAAGGAAUAUCCCCUUUGUGGACCUGAAGAAACAGUAUCAACCUUUGAAAGAAAGCAUCCUUCAGGGAUUUUCCAACGUUCUGGAUGGAAUGCAUCUCUUUUUAGGCGAAAAUGUUCAGGCAUUUGAAAGGGAAUUUGCCAGGAUGUGUGAAGUCGUAACAAGGUAGCCGUA